UAAGCAAAUAAGCUACAGGCCCCUGACCC
rnacentral:piRNA from 1 species